rnacentral:RNase_P_RNA from 1 species
UAAGUAGAAUAAAUGAUCGCGCCGGCAUUUGUCCGGUGAGGAAAGUCCGGGCUUCAUAGGGCAGGAUGCCGGAUAACGUCCGGUGGAGGCGACUCCAAGGAUAGUGCAACAGAAAUAAUACCGCCAGCUUUGUUGGUAAGGGUGGAAUGGCAGUGUAAGAGACUACCGCUUUUCCGGUAACGGAGAAGGCUGUGUAAACCCCAUCCGAAGCAAGACCAGACAGAAAGCAAUAGGCUUGCCCGGCCUGCUUUCAGGUGGGUCGCUUGAGACUGCUGGCAACAGCAGUUCCAGAUAGAUGAUCAUUCACGACAUAACCCGGCUUAUCGUUCUGCUUAAUUC